rnacentral:misc_RNA from 1 species
GAUGAAGAACGCAGCGAAAUGCGAUAAGUAAUGUGAAUUGCAGAAUUCAGUGAAUCAUCGAAUCUUUGAACGCACAUUGCGCCCGCCAGUAUUCUGGCGGGCAUGCUUGUUCGAGCGUCAUUUCAACCAUCAAGCCCUGCUUGCGUUGGGGUCCUGCGGCUGCCCGCAGGCCCUGAAAACCAGUGGCGGGCUCGCUAGUCACACCGAGCGCAGUAAUACAUCUCGCUUUGGGCGUGCGGCGGGUUCUUGCCGUUAAACACCCCCUUUUUACCAAGGUUGACCUCGGAUCAGGUAGGAAUACCCGCUGAACUUAAGCAUAUCAAUAAGCGGAGGA